AAGAAUGGAAAUGUUAAUUUUGAAAGAAUUUCUUACUUAAUUGUUUUUAAAGCGAAGUUUUUGUUUUUAAGAUAUGAAAAAAGACUUUAAUGAGGAAAAAUAAUCAAAUUUAAGACUCUUUUUAUAAAAUUGUACUUGCAAAAGUUCGUAAUAAAAAUAAUACUUCUUUAACAAUUUAAAUUCUUAACUUUAACUAUCAAAAAUUGUUACUAAAAUAGUAAGCUAAAAAUAUAUUUCAUAUAUUAAAAUUCAAUUUAACUUAUUUUUGUUUUUUUUUGAAAAUGUUUUUGAUCCUCAAAAAAUGUAUUGCCUAACUCUUACAUUUUUCUUCAUAAACUUCUUAUUAACUUAAAGGUUCUGUAAAUAUUAACUUACAUACAGCUUCGAUCGGUUAAGAAACAUCUGCUUUAGUAUCUGAUUUAUAAUAUCUUUUGCUUGAUUUUACUCGCUUCUCGCAGAUGCCGCGACGCUUAAACCCACUCAGCCACUAACUUAGUCACCGCCGUUAAAAUGUAAAUUUCCAACAUGCUACUAAAACCACUAACACCAGCCAGCGACAAUUAAAGCCAGCCGCUAGAGAGGAUCAGGAGCACGAUCAAGGAGCAGGAGAGAGGUGGUGGAGCAGAAACUAAUCCAAAGAAGAUACACUGAGAAAAACACGAUGGCCGGGCCGCAGGUGCAGCAUAGCCAGAGACCGAAUAGCGCCUACUAUACUGGCUUGAAUGGCGGUUCCAGUGGUGGGGCAGGAGGAUCCUCCGCCGGAAUGUCGAGCAGUGCAUCGCACACUGGCCUGCAUGCCCUGCGCCAGGUGAGCAACGAAACGGAGCUGAUCUACCGUGGCAGUCACAGCAAUGGAACGGUCAACGAGCUGCCCUCGACCGCCCAGCACCACCUGCUCACCGGUCGGGUGGUACAGCAGCAGCAGCAGGUGCAUCACCAGACAGUUAGCAGCAUCGCUGGCACCGGGUCAAGUGUCACGGAUGCCCUAAUAGGCACCAUAACCACCGGCGGAGGCGCCUCAGGCAGCAGUUGCUCUACGUCGGCAUUGGGUAUCAAAAAGUCCAGCACACAGCGCAGCAUCGAGAUCAUUGUGGAUGCUAGUCAGUGUGGCAAGGAGUUGGUGGCCAGUGGCCCGGGUUCGGGCACGGCAGGAGCAGCAGCAGCAGCUAGUUCGGGAACAGCUAUUAUCUCCACUUUGGAUGUGGAGGAUGUGGAGCAGGGCGGCGGCGGACAGGAGUCCUCUUCUUCGCACCGUAAAUCAUCGCGCCAUCGCCAUCGACCGCUCCAUCGGCGGCUCAUCACCUAUCUGCGGAACCUCUUCCAGGGCAGCACCACCCAGAACGCUGUGAAAGUUCUGCUGGUUGCCUGGCACUGUAUCACGCAUUCGGAACUGGAAGAGUUUGAGACGCCGGCACGGUACAGACCAGACUCGCUAAGUGCACUGAGCCGAGCCACCCGCUUUACGGAGGACGAGAUCAAACGAAUUUAUCGGGGAUUUAAGGCUGAAUGCCCGACGGGCGUCGUCAAGGAGGACACCUUCAAAGUGAUCUACUCGCAGUUCUUUCCACAGGGAGGUUCGUGCGCCAAUCCAACCUUAUAUGCGCACUAUGUAUUUAACACACUGGAUCAGGAUCACAGCGGCAUUGUCAGCUUCGAGGACUUUGUUCAAGGACUUUCGAUACUGUCGCGCGGCUCCGUGGAAGAGAAGCUGCGCUGGACCUUCUCGCUGUACGACAUCAAUGGCGACGGCUUCAUUACGAGGGAGGAAAUGACUGACAUUGUAACUGCCAUAUACGAGCUGAUGGGCCGACUGCCCGACGAGUGUCCCGAAGAGGAGAAGAUCAAGGGCAAAGUAGAGCAGAUCUUCCAGAAAAUGGACACCAAUCGCGAUGGCGUUGUGACGCUGGAGGAGUUCUUGGAGGCCUGUCGCAACGACGAUGCCAUCUCCCGGUCCAUGUCCGUGUUCGACACAGCGUUCUGACCAUAUCCCACGGACAAGGGCGAUGAGUAUACGGUGCCCCGGCGGCGUCGCCAUCAGCAGCCGGCACAGCAGCAGCGUCAGCAACAUGUGCAACAUCAGCAUCAGGAGCCAGAGAAACAAAUUUGCAUAGAAACUAAAUGAAAAUGCGUAGCGAGAAAGACAACGCGAAUCUGCCAAAAUAAAAAUCUAGGUACCGCAUAACCAUAAAUAUGCAAUUAUGAAUGUGUUUGUGCAACUGUAAAAAUAACCAAAAAUGUGAGCAAAAUGUACGGAAAAUAUAUUGGAAAGGCCAACGAUAGCUCGAAAGCAUUCGAUUUUAUUGUCAUAAUUGGCUGGGUUUGCAUUUAACAGAAGAAAAAAGAAAAAAACAAAAAUAAAGCUGAAGAGCAGCUCUCAAGUGUAAGUAAAUUUGUGGCAACGGAAGUGUCACUGCUUGCCCUUGGAAAACAAAGUAAAAAAGAACAAAAUGACAGUGUGUGAGUACAAGCACACACACACACAAACACACACUUACUUAGACAGCCCCAAUUGAAAAUUGAAAAUGUACGAAACGAAAGCUUUACACAAUGAAACUAAAACUAAAACUAAAAACUGAAACUAAAACUAAAAAACUUAAACUAAAACUAAAAAACUAAAACUUAAACUUAAACUAAAAACUAAAAACUAAUAACUUAAAACCUACUCUUAACGAUUUAAUGAGAAAACAUAUAUAGAGAGAAAUGAAAAUUAAACAGAAACUAUAUUUAUACGAAUGGGAAAUAGCAAGGAAAAAUCCUAAUUACGAGUACAUUUAAUUGGAAACAGUUUGACUUUCUAUUUGAAAAAUAUGUAAACAAAGGAGACACACACACACAAACACACACACACAUACACACACAACUGUAGGUAAAUAAAUGUGUAAAUCAAAAUAAUAGCCACGAAAAGGAGAAGGAGAAUUGCUCCUCGGGGCGUAUGCGUAAUGUUGAGUGUAUUGUUUCUGCUCAUUGUUGUUGAUGGAUACAUACAUACAUCUCUCUGCAUUCUCCAUUCUGCAUUAGCAAAUUAAUGACAAUGAUGGAAUAUCAUCAAGUCGACCGGCUAUAUACAUAAGUGUGUGUGUGUACUAUGGCGUGUGUGGCUGUUGUGCGUGCCUGCCUGGGAGUGUGUGUGCAAGCCAAAAUCAAAUAAAAACAAUGUUUGAAUCAGAAAUUGGACCACAGCAAACAAAGAAGUAGCAUAAACCGAUAUCCGCUGUAUAUGCAUAUUAUAUAUAUUUACAUAUAUAGAAACAGAAAUAUAUAUAUAUAUAUAUACAAGGCAUACAGUAUUCAUCAAGUGCAUAGGUGUGUAAUUGUAAUUUUUUGUAGCUAGAACUAAGUGACACAACGCAGAGAAACCGAAAGUGAAAAACUAUUAGAAAUAGCAAAAAGAUAAAUAAUGAUAACUCAAACAUCUCGUUGUACAUAGUUAGUGAGUGGUUUUCUUUGCCGUUAAACCAACUACAAAUCUUUCUCUCUAAACUCAAAGUAAUUGUUGCAUUUUUAACAAAAAAAAAAACAAAAGAAAAACAAAACAAAAGAAACCCCCUACAUAGCUGUGUACUUAGCUGUAGUCUUCCAGAAGUAACCGAAAAAAGUGAACCAUCAACGACGACGAAGAAUACUCUAUAUUCCACUUAGAUUGAACCUGUAGCAAAUUUGUACCUUAGCCGAAACACCCACAAAAAGCUUUCAAAACAAACAAUAAAAACUUCUUCUUAUAAUAGACGAAAAACCGAGUCCAAUAAAGUUUAAAACUAAAAAACUAAAAACCAAACCCUAUAUAUACAAAGAUAUUGCUGUCGCUCUGUCGGAGAACAAGAAGAAGAUGAACUGUAUUAUUUUUGGAUAAAUGUUAUUGAUUUUUCUCUCUGCCCCACACUUCCAAAGGUUAUUCAAUGUUAGAUCCUUCGAACUAUUGGUUUCCCAAAAUGCAUAUGUAUGUGUAGUAUAAACGUUUCGAUCUGAUCCUGGGCACGACAAUAUCGUUAAAGAAGCCACAACAGUGCUAUAUAACAUAUAUAUUGAUAUAUAGAAUAUACCCAUUUAUCCCACCCCAGACACACAGUACACAACCCUCUCUCUGAAUCUCUCUCGCUCUCUCUAACUCUAACUCUCUACUCUAACUAUCUGUAGGAAGCCAAUUCUUUCUAUCUCUACUCCACUCUCUACUUAUCUGUGUGUGAAUUAGCAAUCAAAUACUAAUGCAAAAUCUUUUUUCAAAAACAAAGUGUCAAAUUUUCAAACAGAAAAACCAAAAACGAAAGAAAACCAAACCACAUGGCAAAUAUUGAUAUGACAAAAAGCGAAAACAAAAACCAAAAAACGAAAACGAAAGAAAUUUAUUGAUAAAUUGGAGGAUUGCCAACCUAGUUGCAAGUAUUUUCCAGGCCUAAGCCUUAAUGAUUAGUGAAAUGCAACCGAAAUAUAUGCAUAUAGAGUGUGUGUUUUCUCCUAAUUUCUAAGCUGUUGAAAUCAAAUUUUACCAAUGCAAAGUAAGUAUUAAACGAAAAAGUAUUGACAAACCAAAACUCUCGUUUUAGAGAAACACUUCAACUUUUUCAGUUCUUAAAUGUAAAAACUGUAUUAGCCAAUUUAUUUGUGAGCAAAACUAGGUGUUAAAAAUAUAAGAAAAGAAAUAAGAAAAACAACAAAGAAAAACAACAAGAAAAAUCAAGAAAAAGAAAACCAAAAACAAAGAUCAGAAAAUACAUGUCAUAGCAUAGGCCUAAGGGCGACAUUUAUUGAGGGACUCCACGAAGGCCACGAAGGACUAUUACUAUAUAUCAAAAUCCAAAAAACAAAAAAAAAACACAAACACAAACCGAAUUGUUAUCGGACGAACGACGAAUGUUUUUCAGCCACUAACGAGAGAUUUUUCCAGUGUUAUCAAUCGUUUGGUCUACAAUCUUCUGGGCCCAAAAGCGAUUGAGCCACGUUAUAAACCCAAUUACAAAUUGAUCAACUUGAGAGUAUAUAUACAAAGAAUAUAUAUAUAUAUAUAUAUAUACCCAUGUACUAGUUCGUAAACCUAGCUGAUCUUUUUUGGUGUAAAUUUUAAAUGAUAAAACCAAAAACGAACAAACUUUCCAUGCAAUAAAAACAAAAAACAAAAAAAUUGUUUCAAAACUACAACCGAAAUGUCGUUUAUAUGCGGAAAAACUGCAUGAACCAAAAAAAAAUUAAAAUUAACAAAAAAAAAAAACAAGAAAAACAAAUCGAAAAUGUGCAUGAAAAAC